rfam:Vibrio genomosp. F10 strain 9CSC122 9CSC122_contig_329, whole genome shotgun sequence.
UUAUGCAGAAGAGGAGCACUGCCCAGGCAGAUAUAUGGUGGAACCUUAAUUCCAAUACAAUAUAUCAAUGGGGAGCAGUGCCGAGGUAAACGUAAUGUAAGGGUUAUGUUUAUCGGUUAAGUGGGCUGAAUCCCCUUAACUGUCACUAGCACCGCCUAGUGAUGAGCUUCUGAGGUC